AAAACUUAAUAAAAGAACUUAGAGUAUAGCAAUAUUAGUUACAUAUCUUACACAUAGGACAAAUUCACUAAAUAUCAAAUUCAAGUCUUAAUGAACCUGCAAGGCUUACAUUGAACUGAAUGUUUCAGAUCUGAGCUUUGGUUCCAGCAUUGCCAAUAAUUUUGUGAUGUAACACUUCAACCUUUGAUAGUUUAAGGCCUUUCCUAGCUUUAAAUAUCUGAUACACAAGUGAAAAUUUGCAUAUGUUAGCCUUGUCUUUGGGCCUCAGUUUUGUUAUCUGUAAAAUGGGAAAUGCUGACCUAAUCAAACCAUUUUAAUUGAACUUUAUACAAUGGAUGUUCAAAGACACAUUAAUUCUGCAAAAAAGUCUUAGGGGUGGGGAUGGGAGUGGGAAGAACUUCCUUGGGGAAAGCUGCACACUAUAUAGCCUGCUCACUUCAAUAUGAACAAAGCAUGGUACCAUAUUAAAUAUUCUGGGAAGUAAAUAAGCCAGUUUAACUUGAUUUUAACCUGUGCUUCCCAAACUUAUUUGGACAUGGAAUAGUUUUCUCAGAUAACAUGAUUUUGGUAUCCCAUGAAACGAAUUUUCUGAGACACACUGUGGACUGCUAACAUGAAUAUUCUUAGGUACUAGGGUUAGUAUAGGCAAAAGGAAAAGUACAGUCCUAUGAGCUGUUCUCUACUGGUUUUUGUGCCUGUUGUCACUUGCAGCUUCAGUCAACGGAGACUUUAAAACAUUAUGUUUCUUAAUUACAGUCAUUGGUUGUCAAGUCUCCAAGAUAAUAAGUUAAAUUUCUCUGCCUCUCAGGUUACAGUUGGCCUCUUUUUCUUCCUAAUAAAAACAUGGAAUCUGGCAAUCAAUCACUUAAGAUACAAAAUAUCAAUUCAAACCAAGCAAAAGCAUUAAAGUUCUGAAGUCAAGGAUCUAUUUGAAAACAUAUCAAAUUAGGUCAGGUUAAUACCUGCAGAAUAUAUCUGCCAAGGUGAAGCUUAUGUCAUGAUUUCUCUCUACUUCUAGUUCUGGCACUUGAUCAUUAAGUAACCUGGGAUAAAUUAAUUUUGUAAGGCUGAACAGAGACUAAUGGAUCUUAUUUCAAAAUGAUCUUUUUCUUUUUUAACCCUUAACAUCUAUGCUAAACAUUUAAGAAAUUUGGUUAUUUUUGUGUUUUCUUCAGAGUAGGUCACAAAUAUUAUAUUUUGCAUUUAUUGCAGCAUUUAUUUUCCUCCAAAAUAAUUUAUACAUGCACUUUGAACAAUUUGCAAUUAUUUCAAGGCAGGUGACAAUAACUUUGUUUUAUUGUGAAGUAAAACACACACAGUAGGCCGAGCACGGUGGCUCAUGCCUGUAAUCCCAGCACUGAGGGAGGCCGAGUCUGGCGUCGAAGACAGAGUAUUUAACAGAAAAGAGUCCAAGGGCGGCGAGACAGACCAACGUUGCGUAGAGGGGCUAUGCUGACAGCUGAGUAGAUUAGAAACCCGACUGACGAGGAACUGACUUGGGGAGCGUGCCAGGCGAACAUCGCCAGGGCAGAGAACCCCCAUCAGCUCCCGAGGUCAUUCUUCCCGCGCCCCCACCGGCCUCCGCGCACUCUCCGGAGGCAGAGCGACCGCUCUGCCCGGAGGCUCCAGCGUUUCCCGCCGUUGGAGACUCUGAAAUUGCCUUUUGGAACAAAACUUGGGUCGGAAAGGAGGCGAAGGGAAAGCGGUGUGAAGUCCUCGGUGCGGAAGAGUGAGCAGUGCCGUAGGGGGUAGCCCGAGGGGAAGCUUCCCGACCCGGACAUUGAGCCGAAGCCGAGCGCUCGACUCCCCUCGCUGCGCCUGCGUUCGGCCACCUCCGGGAGAGUUUCGGCUCUUUCCGUCAGUUCAGCUCGGGCCCUCUAUUCCCGGCGCUCGUCGGGCCCCUACCCGUUGCCGCCGGGUACGAGCUGUUCUGCACGCGGACGCGAGCUCGAGUCCCACCCGUUUUCCCCUUGCAUCUAGUUUGUCCCCGACCCCCUCCCAGAGUCUCUUCCCUUCCGCGGUAAUUCCCAGUCUCCGGUGGCGCGCGAGCCUGCGGACGGUGCGAGACGCGAGGGACCGGGUCCCGAGAAGAGCGGUAACCCUACCGGUCGGAGCCCGCCUCUCGUCGCCCGGCGCCUCUCCUCGAUCCCC
rnacentral:lncRNA from 1 species